rnacentral:rRNA from 1 species
GACGAACGCUGGCGGCGUGCUUAACACAUGCAAGUCGAACGGAGUGGCGAACGGGUGAGUAACACGUGGGUGACCUGCCCUGCACUUCGGGAUAAGCCUGGGAAACUGGGUCUAAUACCGGAUAGUGUGGGAUGGGCCCGCGGCCUAUCAGCUUGUUGGUGGGGUAAUGGCCUACCAAGGCGGCGCAGGGUAGCCGGCCUGGGAGGGUGGACGGGCACCAGGGGCCGGCGACACGGCCCAGUCUCCUACGGGACGCAGCGGUGGGGAGUAUUACGCAAUGGGCGGAAGCCUGAUGCGGCGACGCUGCGUGGGGGAAGACGGCCUUGGGGUUGUAAACUCCUUGCACCGUAGACGCGGUAGAUGGAGAAGAAGCACCGGCUAACUACGUGCCAGCAGCCGCGGUAAUUC